rnacentral:rRNA from 1 species
ACUACGGGUGGCAGCAGUGAGGAAUAUUGGUCAAUGGGCGGAAGCCUGAACCAGCCAAGUAGCGUGCGGGAUGAAGGCCCUACGGGUCGUAAACCGCUUUUGCACGGGGAUAACACCCUCCACUUGUGGAGGUCUGCAGGUACCGUGCGAAUAAGGGCCGGCUACUUCCGUGCCAACAGCCGCUGUAAUACGGAAGGCCCGAGCGUUAUCACGAUUCAUUGUGCUUAAAGGGAGCGUAGGCUGGCGUUUAAGUCAGCUGUAAAAUCGCGCGGCUCAACCGCGCCCCGAAGUUGAAACUGGACGCCUUGAGUGCACAACAGGCAGGCGGAAUUCGUGGUGUAGCGGUGAAAUGUAUAGAUAUCACGAGGAACCCCGAUUGCGAAGGCAGCCUGCCGGGGUGCGACUGACGCUGAGGCUCGAAGGUGCGGGUAUCAAACAGGAUUAGAUACCCCUGUAGUC